rnacentral:lncRNA from 1 species
CUUACUAGUGGUAUUUGACUCAACAUAUAUGCAAUCAUAGACUGCACAUAAUUAGAGCAGAGCAAAAAUGCAAAUUUUCAUGUCUUCCGCUUAGCUCCCAUCUCCGCAUGAAUUCUAAUUGUUACAAAAGCUAUCCAAUUAAAUACCAUACCUUCAAGCAUUCCUACCGCAGUAAAUAAUAGUCGUUUGGACAUGUACGUGGUGUGCCGAUUUAAGCCUAACUACUUCUCAAUGAGACACAUCCACUCUAUAAGCUCUGGCAUAAGUACCUCCAUCAUUCUCUAACCUUGACUCUUCUCAAAUGAUGACAUGUCACUUUUAAAAUAACUUUUCAAUCUAAAAUCAUUGGAGAUUUCAACA